GAUGGGAAGGAACGUUUUGUGAAUAUGAAUCAAAUGAAUGUAUUUCAGAGCCUUGUAAAAAUAAUGGCACCUGUACAGAUCUUUUCAACAGCUAUCGCUGCACAUGUGCACCAGGCUGGACAGGGCCAGACUGCAGCGAAGAUAUAAAUGAAUGUGAUGCAGAACCGUGCCUGAACGGAGCCACCUGUUAUGAGUCUGUUAUCCAGGGGCAGUUUGGGUGCAUUUGUCCUCCAUUCUUUACGGGGGACUUGUGCCAUCAGCGCUUCAAUCCCUGCGACCUGCCCUACAAUCCCUGUGUAAACAACUCAACCUGCCUGGCGCAAGCUGAUGGAAAGCCACGGUGCGUUUGCAAAGCAGGAUUUGAAGGCACUAACUGUGAAGUUAACACUGAUGAGUGUGCCUCCCAUCCGU